GACGAACGCUGGCGGCGUGCUUAACACAUGCAAGUCGAACGGAAAGGCCCUGCUUUUGUGGGGUGCUCGAGUGGCGAACGGGUGAGUAACACGUGAGUAACCUGCCCUUGACUUUGGGAUAACUUCAGGAAACUGGGGCUAAUACCGGAUAGGAGCUCCUGCUGCAUGGUGGGGGUUGGAAAGUUUCGGCGGUUGGGGAUGGACUCGCGGCUUAUCAGCUUGUUGGUGGGGUAGUGGCUUACCAAGGCUUUGACGGGUAGCCGGCCUGAGAGGGUGACCGGCCAAAUUGGGACUGGGGAAGGGCCCAGACUCCUAGGGGAGGGAGGAGGGGGGAAUAUUGCACAAGGGGGGGAGGCCGGGUGCAGCAACGCCGCGUGGGGGAUGGCGGCCUUGGGGUUGUAAACCGCUUUCGCCUGGGACGAAGCGUGGGUGAGGGUAAUGGGUAAAGAAGCACCGGCUAACUACGU
rnacentral:rRNA from 1 species